AUGGUUCAUCACGUCUGUGCUGAUUUUGCAGGGACUGAUGAACACACCCGUGCUCUGAUACAGUGGAGAGUGGCUAAUGAAGCCCUCUUCACUGGAAAGAGAAAUGCUGCAAUUAAAGGUUUUGAAGUUUUUAUCACAGAGCAGAGGCUGGAGGGCAAAAUGUCUGCUCUUCAGAUAAAAAAAAAUGGGAGAACCUUAAACAAAAAUAUAAAGGUUCAGGUGGGCCAUCGUCAUCCUCCGCAACUUCUGGAUCAACUAUGUCCCCAUUACUAAGACAGAGGUUGUGGAGCACCGUACAGCAUGCUAUGACAUCUGGCACAAAAGCAGGGCUGACUUGGACUUUGAUACUAGCAAUGUCAUUUGUAGGGCAUCGCUUUAAAAUAACUCAAUAUAUGUUCCUUUCAAAGCAUGUGUACAAGAUGAGGACUUCUACACCUUGGGUAAUUUUGGAUUUGGAUUUGAAGUAAAUAAUGUAAUUAAGACUCAAGUAUAGUGAUAUGUAGUUAGAAUGUUAAAGAUUUGGUAUACAAAUUCACACACACAGCCUAAGGCAGUGUGCCAGUGGUUGAUUCUCUCUACAGAAUUAAAGAGCUUCCGAUUAAAGUAGCACUGCACGUCACUUGCUGGUGGUUUAAUGCGGAUGUGACAGCCAUCUAUAGCACCAGCUACUACUCUGAAAGCUGGAGACCCUGCCAGCUGGGCAAAACCUGCUCCCACCGCCUCCAGGUCAUCCGCACUGGGGAAAGCGAUGAGCUGCCUCAAAAUCCCGAUGACUGCCUUGCUCAUUCUGUGCACAAUGUCGUGCACAGUAGACUUCGCGAACACCAGCACCUCACGUCCUUUCCCAGCCAUGGUCGCAUUCAGGUUCACUGCAGCAAUCAAGGAGUUGGACGGACUGCCGUGAAAGUCGGAGUUUGGGGCGGAGGUCAGAUCCAUCUUCAAAAUACAGCCGAAGAAUUGGCACAGCAGCAUUCAGGUGGCAGUAGAUUGUAGGGCUCACAAUCUGUAAACAUGUAUAUAGUUUUAUUUUAGAAUACAACUUUAAUUAACAAGAUACUUGUUUCUUGUGUUGGCUUAUUUAUAAAUAUAGUAUGUCUGUAUUUAUAUGUAUAAGAUCCAUUUCUUAUGCAUGAUGUAUUUGAAUAUAUGUAUGUGUGUAUAUAUUAUAUAUAUUAUAAAUAUAAUGAAGACAUCAGAUGUAAGAGCCUCUAAGUGUCAAUUGAAAUAUUCUCCUAGAAUUAUAGGAGAAAUUAUUAAAAUAUUAAAAAUUAAAAUCAAGUUUUGACAAAAAAUUAUAAUUAAAUUGAUCAAGCUUGUAUAUUUUAGUUGUAAUUUCACUAAUGGUAAUGAAAAAGAGCUAUUGCCAUUAAAAUUAAAUUUAAAAUUGCCAUUAAAAUUAAAUAAAAAUGUAUCUCUCAAUUGAUUCAUUCAUUGAUGGUAAUUUCACAAGCUGUACGUUAUAUAUAUAUAUACACGCAUACAGGUACACUGCGUGUGCUAUUACCAUCAAUGAAUGAAUCAAUAAAGAUACACACAUAAGUUACAUAACGUUAUCUCUAUUGAUUCAUUCAUGUUCAUUCAUCGAUGGUAAUAGCACAAGCAAAUAAAUUACUUUUUCCUUGCCAAAAAUCAACAUCUGUCAUCGUUCACAGGUUUGUGUGUUUUUCUGAGGUAAAAUUUAUUAGCUAAAUAAAUGAUGAUAAAUAAAUGAUGAUACUUACGUUAUUUGAGAAUUUCCGUAAAAGCUCUCGACGAAGGCGUGAUCUGCGAGUAGCUGACUGACGCCUCUGGACUGUGAGCUCGAACGACGUAAAAACGCCGAUGAAGGCAGAAAGCAGAACUAAAAACAUCGCUCGCAGUUGGUGCAGUCAAUGGAAUGGGCUCUUUAAAUUUUCGCUGUUAUGAUACCGUAUGUCACGUGACAUUUCCAAUAUGGCGCAUGCAGUACGUCCGGACUCCAUUCAUACUACCCAUAUUCAUACUAUAUAGAACGUACUUUUUUAACGGUCGUGAAGUACGUUCUAAUUUAAAUGUAGUACCUACUCACAUAGUACGCGAUUUCGGACGCAGCAUGUGUCAUUUGCUCUGGAAUUAUUACAGAGGUUGUGUGAGAUAAUCACAGACGUGGCAGAUUCGGACGGGAUUAAAAUCACCAAGUAGGUAAGUAGUAAGACCCCCUGUAAAACUAGUCCCGUCCGAAUAGGGCUUAAGUGUAAUAAUUGCAGUAAUAAUUGGCAACAUUUUAGUAAUAAUAUCUAAUAUUUCAUAGAAAUAUUGAUGAAUAUAUAUUAUAUAUAUAUUUCCAUAUUCACUUGUUGUGUCUCCCAAAGUCCUGAUAAACAUGAUUUAAGUCCUGAUGUCCUCUACAGUGGACAUGUAUGAAAUCAAUGCUCUGUUCUGUAACAGAAAGUUAUUUUUGAUUUGAAACCCCAUAACGUUUUGACGUAACGUCUGAGAUGUUGGUUUCUGAAAUACAGUUUGAAAAGUAGUCUGAUUUAAAUUAUAACGU
rnacentral:lncRNA from 1 species